AAUACCAUUAAUUUUCAUGAACCCCUAAUCUAUAAUGAAUGACUCCAUAUUUAUAUGGAAGACACCAUGCUAGGAUUAGUAACAAGAAUUUAUAAUUCUCCAAAAUGCAAAUAUAAACCAACAUGGAUGGACCAUUGGUAGUUACCGAACCUAAAUUCAAUGCAACAACACCUACAAGAAAACUCUGCAGUACUUACUCGUUAACCUAACACCAGCGCAUUACAGGAAAGAUUUAAAAAAAGAGAAGGAAUUCGGCAAAUGACGGCCCCGCCUGUUUACCAAAAACAUCGCCUCUUGACUUAUAAUAAGAGGUCCAGCCUGCCCAGUGAAUUUUAAACGGCCGCGGUAUCCUAACCGCGCGAAGGUAGCAUAAUCACUUGUUCUUUAAAUGGGGACUCGUAUCAACGGCAUCACGAGGGUUUUACUGUCUCCUCUUUUUGAUCAGUGAAAUUGAUCUUCCCGUGAAGAAGCGGGAAUAAAUUUAUAAGACGAGAAGACCCCAUGGAGCUUUAAACCAAAUAACAACUUAACCACUUAUCCCAUAAUAAAUUUAAACCCUGUUAUAAGGUUUUUGGUUGGGGUGACCGCGGAGUAAAACACAUCCUCCACGACGAAAAAAACAGAAUUUUUAUUUAAGAACCACACUUCUAGAAAUUAGUAUACUAACGUUUACUGACCCGACAAUCGAUCAACGGACCAAGUUACCCUGGGGAUAACAGCGCAAUCUACUUCAAGAGCUCAUAUCGACAAGUAGGCUUACGACCUCGAUGUUGGAUCAGGGUAUCCCGGUGGUGCAGCCGCUACCGAAGGUUCGUUUGUUCAACGAUUAAAACCCUACGUGAUCUGAU
rnacentral:rRNA from 1 species